ACUGUUUUACACUAUUUGCUAAAGAUGUAGACUACAGAAGGCCUGUUUUUUGUAUUCUCCACAACGGUGUGUGUGUGUAUGAGCAAGUGAGACAGAGACAGAGAAAGGCGAUCGUUUGGUAGUAGUCCUAGGUACUGAUUGGCUCUUGCGGUACAUGUGACAACUGUCCUCAUCUGCAUAUGGACAGGUACGCUAUGGUGAGCGUGGUAGAGAAGUUACCGGGCUGGCACCGUGUGAAUGGAGUUUUAAAGAUCGUCGAGAAAUCUCCCAAGUAGCCCUAAGACAUCGUUAGUCUACAGCAAGAGGACUACUAUUUCAUACCGCCCAUUGACUUCGGAAAAUAGCUCAUUGUAAUCAACAGAGACAGGCACCGUCAGUCUGGCUGCUGUGUCCCCAUUGGUCCAGAUGUGAGAGCAGAGACCAGCAGUGUCACCUCUAACCCUCAGGGCCCGUCGUCAUGAAAAUGGUGUUGUCGUUACCAAGGCCACCGUGGGGGUUGUGGUCUGUGUUAGUCCCAGGCCUGACCUUACUGCUGUGCCUGGCCCUGGUCCUGAUGGGCUGUGUGAUCAGGAAGAAGAGAAGGAUGGAGGGAAUGUAUCGGCCCAGUGCGGAGGAGAGCAAACAGACAGGACCACGGGGGGCUGAGAGACCAGGCCUGCCCCUGCCCAAGGAGGAGAGACUCAUCUGAUACCUGCACUCUAGCCUGGACGCUACACACACACACAAACUCUCUUUUCCUCCCUCUCUCUCUCACUACCAUUGCCUCACUCUCCUCUACCCUGUACAUGAAGCCAGAAUGGGUUAUUAGUAAUUAUGUAUUGUGUUGUGUAAAGUUAUUUGUAGAUGAAGUGUCUUGUUAAAUAUGCCUGAACAUGCCUGGUGGAUGUGCGAUGUCCUCUCCAGUUUCUCCAACUGUGCUGAUGUUGACAUCAGUGUGUCAACCGGUGAAUGCUGAAUGCCCUGUCAGGGGUGUGUUGUUUACCUGUAGGUGGACUAUUUGUUGACAUGUUUACCUUUAGGUGGACUAGUUGUUGACAUGUUUACCUGUAGGUGGACUAGUUGUUUACCUGUAGGUGGACUAGUUGUUGACAUGUUUACCUGUAGGUGGACUAGUUGUUGACCUGUAGGUGGACUAGUUGUUUACCUGUAGGUGGACUAGUUGUUGACAUGUUUACCUGUAGGUGGACUAGUUGUUGCAAAAUGUCUCUUUAUUGUGGCAGUUAUACUGUUACAUGUGUACAAACUAUGAUUUAAGUGUAUCCCGUGUAUAAAGCAUUAGUGUGUGUGUUUUUUAUAUCUUGAAAAUGAAGAGAAGAAUGGUAAAGACACUAUGAAUGAUUUCUAAUGCACUUCUGAUGAUAUUAUCCAUGUGAGAACAAUAAAACUCCUCUCAA